AUACGAGUUAUUGUAAAUUUUUAUAGUUUAUUGUAGUUAUUAUGUGUGUAAAAUUUAAAUUGUUUGUUUUUAUAGUAUGAAAAGUAUAGAAUUAAUGUUUCGUUUGGUACUGUGAAGGUGAGGUGUGUAGUUGUUUAUAGUAGAUUAAUUGUUCGUACCUUUUGUAUAAUGGGUUAAUAAUAUAUUUAAGUUUUAAUUUAAGUUUUUCUCGAAUUGAAAAGAUUUAUCUAACAUAUAUUUGUGUUAACGUUGCAUAGUUAUACAUUUAGUGUUAGGUGGUAGUGAAAUGUUUAUCGGUUUUCAUGGUAGCUAGUUUAUUGGUUUGGAAUAUUUAAGUAUUUUAAUAUUAAUAUAAUUGUGGUUUGUUUAAUAUUAUUUAUAUUAUGGGGGAUAAGCUUCAUAUUGUUUAUAGAGUAUUUUAUAUUUAAUUAUAAUUUAAGUAGAGUUAAUAAUGCUUUUCUUUAUAAGUAGUUUAAAUAUGUUAUUUUUAAUUGUUUCAUGUAGAGGUGGCCAUAAAUAUUUAUAAAUUAGUUUUAAGUAAAUAUAAUGUUAAUAUGAGUAUUUGUUAGAUUUAUAAAUUUAGUUGAUUUAAUGGUAGAUAAAUAGUGUUUUUAGUAAAAUGAAAUAAAAUAAAGGAAUUCGGCAAAUAUUAAUCUCGCCUGUUUAUCAAAAACAUGUCUCUUUGUAUAUAUUUUUAAAUAAGGAGUUGGGCCUGCUCGGUGAUAUUUAUUUAACAGCUGCGGUAUUUUAACUGUACUAAGGUAGCAUAAUAGUUUGCCUUAUAAAUUGAGGCUAGAAUGAAUGGUUUGACGAAGGUUAAUCUGUCUCUAUUUUAUUUAAUAGAAAUUAAUUUUUAAAGUGAAAAAGCUUAAAUUUUUUAAAGGGACGAGAAGACCCUACUGAGCUUAUAAUUUUGAUUUACUAUAGUAUGUAGUAGGGGUUAAAAUUUUAAUUGGGGUGAUUAAGGAAUAAAUAUUUAAAUUAAGUAGUAACUUCCUUAUAAAUAGCAGAUAUAUAGUUUAUUAAUUAACCAAUAAUUAUGUUGCUUAUAAUAUAGUUACCAUAGGGAUAACAGCGUAAUUUGUUUGGAGAGUUCUUAUUAAAAAACAAGGUUGCGACCUCGAUGUUGGAUUAAAAUAACCUUAAGGUGUAGAAGCUUUAAUAGGUAAAUCUGUUCGAUUUUUAAAAUUUUACAUGAUCUGAGUUCAGACCGGCGUGAGCCAGGUUGGUUUCUAUCUUUUAAAAUAUAAAUAGUUUCUUUUAGUACGAAAGGACCAAAGUUAACUAAAUUAUUAAUUAUAAUGUUAAUGUAUUAAUAAGUUGAUAUGGGUUAAAUAGAUAAAUAAAUUACAUUGGUAUUGUUUG
rnacentral:rRNA from 1 species